rnacentral:rRNA from 1 species
CCUACGGGUGGCUGCAGUCGAGGAUCUUCGGCAAUGAGCGCAAGCUUGACCGAGCGACGCCGCGUGCGGGAUGAAGGCCUUCGGGUUGUAAACCGCUGUCGUGGGGGAGGAAAGCCGCAAGGCUUGACCUAUCCCAGGAGGAAGCACGGGCUAAGUUCGUGCCAGCAGCCGCGGUAAGACGAACCGUGCAAACGUUGUUCGGAAUCACUGGGCUUAAAGGGCGCGUAGGCGGCAAAGCAAGUCGGGGGUGAAAUCUUUCGGCUCAACCGGAAAAGGGCCUUCGAUACUGCUUUGCUCGAGGAAGAUAGGGGCCACGGGAACGACCAGUGGAGCGGUGAAAUGCGUUGAGAUUGGUAGGAACGCCGGUGGCGAAAGCGCGUGGCUGGAUCUUCCCUGACGCUGAGGCGCGAAAGCUAGGGGAGCAAACGGGAUUAGAUACC